rnacentral:rRNA from 1 species
AGUGAACGCUGGCGAUAGGCCUAACACAUGCAAGUCGAACGGCAGCACAGGAGAGCUUGCUCUCUGGGUGGCGAGUGGCGGACGGGUGAGGAAUACAUCGGAAUCUACUCUGUCGUGGGGGAUAACGUAGGGAAACUUACGCUAAUACCGCAUACGACCUACGGGUGAAAGCAGGGGACCUUCGGGCCUUGCGCGAUUGAAUGAGCCGAUGUCGGAUUAGCUAGUUGGCGGGGUAAAGGCCCACCAAGGCGACGAUCCGUAGCUGGUCUGAGAGGAUGAUCAGCCACACUGGAACUGAGACACGGUCCAGACUCCUACAGGAGGCAGCAGUGGGGAAUAUUGGACAAUGGGCGCAAGCCUGAUCCAGCCAUACCGCGUGGGUGAAGAAGGCCUCCGGGUUGUAAAGCCCUUUUGUUGGGAAAGAAAUCCAGCUGGCUAAUACCCGGUUGGGAUGACGGUACCCAAAGAAUAAGCACCGGCUAACUUCGUGCCAGCCGCCGCCGUAA